GCGGUCGUGGCGGAAUUGGUAGACGCGCAGCGUUGAGGUCGCUGUGUCCGAAAGGACGUGGAAGUUCGAGUCUUCUCGACCGCACCA
rnacentral:tRNA from 2 species